CGAAUGGGGGAACCCACUAUCUUUAGUCGGAUAGUAUCCUUACGUGAAUACAUAGCGUAAGGAAGGCAGACCCAGGGAACUGAAACAUCUAAGUACCUGGAGGAAGAGAAAGAAAAAUCGAUUUCCUGAGUAGCGGCGAGCGAAACGGAAAGAGCCCAAACCAAGAAGCUUGCUUCUUGGGGUUGUAGGACACUCUAUACGGAGUUACAAAAGAAAGUGGUAAACGAAGUGGUCUGGAAAGGCCCGCCAAAGAAG
rnacentral:rRNA from 1 species